AGUGAACGCUGGCGGUAGGCCUAACACAUGCAAGUCGAACGGCAGCACAGUAAGAGCUUGCUCUUACGGGUGGCGCGUGGCGGACGGGUGAGGAAUACAUCGGAAUCUACUUUUUCGUGGGGGAUAACGUAGGGAAACUUACGCUAAUACCGCAUACGACCUACGGGUGAAAGCAGGGGAUCUUCGGACCUUGCGCGAUUGAAUGAGCCGAUGUCGGAUUAGCUAGUUGGCGGGGUAAAGGCCCACCAAGGCGACGAUCCGUAGCUGGUCUGAGAGGAUGAUCAGCCACACUGGAACUGAGACACGGUCCAGACUCCUACGGGAGGCAGCAGUGGGGAAUAUUGGACAAUGGGCGCAAGCCUGAUCCAGCCAUACCGCGUGGGUGAAGAGGGCCUUCGGGUUGUAAAGCCCUUUUGUUGGGAAAGAAAAGCAGCAGGUUAAUACCCCGCUGUUCUGACGGUACCCAAAGAAUAAGCACCGGCUAACUUCGUG
rnacentral:rRNA from 1 species